AUGAGUCAAAGAACAGCAGUAUGCUUUUCUGCCUUGCAUUCUCCGAAGUGGGUUACUAAUUCUUCUGGAAAGCAGCGAUCUCCUGCACUCUUGGUACAAAUCCAUGUCUCACAAGGCAUGACUUUGCUGCAUUGGGCCAGCAUUUUGUCUCCUCCUGUACUCCGUAACACCAGUAUGUGCCAUAUACUAGAGAAAUGCCACACCAGGCAGUCUGCGAUUGCAUCUUUCUGAAAUCUUCUUCAUAGUUGGCUGACGGACAAGAAGAGGGCCUCUUAUGCCUUAUCAAAACUAUACACCUUGAUAUGAGUAAUCACAAAUCUGCUAUCACUGUUCACGUUCAACAGAAGUGUGCACAAAAUUUGUCAGAAGAUAAAAAAAGCCCUUUUGCUCACCAGAAAAAAGUGCCAGCUUACAAGUGACAUCUCUGUCCGCGUAGAUAUUGAGCAGUUCACUUUAAAUCUGAACUUUCUCUUUUACCAAGCAUCUUGGUUUUCCUAUAAGGAGUUCCAGAAGUCUAGGCAAGAAGCUGUGGAAAACUUUGUGGCUUCCUAGUCCUUUGAACAUGAGAGAGGAGUACCUACAACCAAUCACAGGCAUGUCAGUCUGGAAGAAAGAACAACAUUUCUAUCUGGGUGUCUGGUCACUAUUACCGCCUGAAAAAUGCCGCCUGCCUAAUGCUGCUCAUCUGCACAUAGUUUUGGGAUGAAGAACGUUAAGCUUUAAAACAGCUGCUGUUACUGAAAAUAGUGCCUUAAGAAAAGGCUGGUCUGUGCGAAUGCAGUGCCUGCCGCGCUAAAUAGAGCUCUGGCUUAGCACACACGGUUAAACUGCAAGUGGAAGAGGAGGUGAGAAAUUCCUCUGACCUCCCACCAACACUUCACGCACAGCUUUUUCAUUAGCAGCAUCUACAAAAGGGUCAGCACUCCACCAGAGCAUCCCUCGGACACUGCUGGUACAAGUUCAGAGCCUGAAUUCACAGCCCAGCCUUCUGCCCGUCCAGGACAGCCUGCGGCCGGGGAGGCUGAGUCUAAAGCCAGUUGGCUCCCAGUCCACCACCUUCAGCAGCUGAACCUCCGAUGUUUGUUCACUUGGCGAGUCUCACCCAAGAAAGGUGCUGUGAGAUUUAGCCUACUCACCUAGUUAAAGCUAGGCAUAUGUUUAAGUGCUCUGCUGAACCGGAAGAGCAGGUCUGCUUUAUUAACCC
rnacentral:lncRNA from 1 species